rnacentral:lncRNA from 1 species
ACGCGCCCGCGAGGCUCCGCCCCGCCCCUUCCUGCAGCCGCCGGCCGCUUCCCCGGUGGGUCCUCCAGCCCCUACGCUGGAGGUGGAGGGGUGAGGGCGCGGUCCGACCGGAAAGCGCGGCACCCCGGCGCUCGGCGCUCACUGACUGCCCAACUCCACGGAGGCGCUUGCUCUAUUCUCUCCCCACCUGCGCCCGGGACCUGGGAGGGAUGGGCGUGGCCGACCUUUCCUGUAUGGACGGUGAAAAGGCCAGAAGUGACUCUCCUGUCCAGGGUCUCAAGCUGGAACUGGAUCCUCCCUGCUCAGGCUGCGAUCCGCUCGUCGCAUCUGCUGGGCAAGUCUUGAAAACGCAAACCUGCUUCCAGCACAAUGCACCUGCCCAUCAUCCUAUAUCCUGUAUCAGAGGUUCCUGGAGAAAUGAAAGCAAAUUGUUUACUGCAAAGUUUAAUUGGAAAUCUAUUGGAAUUGAUACAGGAAAUACCCAAAAAUAGACUUCUCAUUAAUGUAUAACAGGUAAGCAGUUUCUCUGUGCUUUUUAAAGAAAAGGACAUUUACAUAAUCUAUUUUUACUUGUAUAUAGCUAUAUGGUAUCUAUUUAUGUAGUCUGGUGAGGUAAUACCUCAUUAUAGAAUUAUCUAGGACUAAACAUCUUUCUACACAGGCAAUAAUGCUAGGAGAAAAAAUAGCAGGUAAAAAUUCUUGAUAAAUUAUGGGGAUUAUUAUGAGCUUGGUGUCAUUUAUCUCAGGUUACACACACACACACACACACACACACACACACACACUUCUACCCACAGUUUCUGUUUGUCUAUCAACAAUGACUGUUAAUAGCAUAGACUCUAAGCUAAAUUGUGAAAUAGGGCUCUUUUUUUUGCCAUUCAUUCUCCUUUUUACCAGUGUUCUCUUUUUUCCUUUCAGUGUCUGUAUAUCUAUGACCUCUGAGCCUCACCAUCGGUAGGAAUCCACUGUCCUCUCUUCAUCCCUAAUCAAACUUAGAAAUUACCUAAUAUCAGCAUGCUUUGUAGAUUAUACUAUAAUAUAAUGGGGCAUUUUCAUAUUGGUAUUAUAUUCCCCAAAUGAUAUCCUCAUACCCUAUCCCCAUUCUCCUUCCUCCUGGAAUGCAUUCCAAUCCCUUCUAUAUUUUUUCAACUACACAUUUUUUGCCUUUUUUUUUUUUAAGGGCCACACCCAAGGCAUAUAGAAGUUCCCAGGCGAGGAGUUGAAUCAGAGCUACAGCUGACAGCCUAUACCACAGCCACAGCAAUGCCAGAUCUGAACUGUAUCUGCGACCUACACCACAGCUCCUGGCAACUCCAGAUCCCCAACUCACUGAACAAGGCCAGGGAUGGAACCCACAUCCUCAUGGAUACAGGUUGGAUUCGUUUCUGCUGAGCCACGAUGGGAACUCCCCAAUCACAUUUUUUACCACAAAAUAUGAUGUUGAGAUGUGUCUUUUUCCAUAUCCACCCGCAUGUUCAUUGCAGCACUAUUCCCAAUAGCUGAGACAUGGAAACAACCUAAUUGCCCAUCAACAGACAAUUGGGUUAAGAAGAUGUGGUAUAUAUACACAAUGGAAUACUACUCAUCCAUAAAAAAGAACAAAAUAAUGCCGUUUGCAGCAACACGGAUGGAACUAGAGACUCUCAUAUCAAGUGAAGUAAAUCAGAAAGAGAAAGACAAAUACCAUAUGAUUUCACUUAUAUCUGGAAUCUAAUAUAGGGCACAAAUGAACUUUUCCACAGAAAAGAAAAUCAUGGACAUGGAGAACAGACUUGUGGUUGCCAAGAGGGAGGGGAAGGGAGUAGGUGGGACUGGGAAUUUAGGGUUAAUAGAUGCAAACUAUAGCCUUUGGAAUGGAUAAGCAAUGGGAUCCUGCUGUAUAGCCCUGGGAACUAUGUCUGGUCACUUGUGAUGGAGCAUGAUGAUGUGAGAAAAAAGAAUGUAUAUGUAUGUGUGACUGGGUAACCUUGCUGUGCAGCAGAAAAUUGAUAGAGCACUGUAAAUCAGCUAUAAUGGAAAAAAUAAAAAUCAUUACAAAAAAUGUGUCUUUUUAAUU